AUGCGCUGGUUUUCAUGGUGGAAGCUUUGCAUUCCCAAGUGUGAUGGUGGCAUGGGUUUUAGAGAUCUUCACUCUUUUAAUUUGUCACCCCUUGCAAAGCAAUGUUGGAGAAUGAUAACUAAUCCUGAAUCUGUUUGUGCUCGCAUCUUGAGGGCAAAGUAUUUUUUAAAUACUGAUUUAUUACAUGCAGGACCAAAGAAUGGUUCUUCAUUCACCUGGCAGAGUAUUGUUGCUGCAUUAACUACUUUUAAAAGAGGGUAUCUAUGGCACAUUGGAUCAGGGAAAAUGAAAAAUUGGACUGAUCCAUGGAUCCCCUCAAGUCCGGAUAGAAAGAUCAUCACCCCUCGAGGACAUACAAUGAUCUCUAAAGUAGUUGAACAAAUUGACCCGACCACUAACCAUUGAGAUGAACAGUUGAUUAGAGACAUUUUUUAUCCAGUGGAUGCAACUAGAAUCCUUCAAAUACCUCUUAACUUUCAGGCAUUUGAUGACUUUAUUGCGUGGAAUCAGAAAGAAAUGACAAUGCAUUGA
rnacentral:rRNA from 1 species